GAGUAUGUUGUCCAGCCUGCCUUCAGAGGAUGGAACAUUCUCUACCGUGCUUGAUCCAAGUUGAGGGCAAGGUCGUAUGGGGGCCCACAGAGGGGUCUGUUGUGUUGUUCCUGAUAGAGAUGACGGUAGCAAUGGAGAGAGGGAUGUAUUGGAGGUCUAGGCCCAUCAUGUCUGUGUGGGAGUCUCACCAGCUCAUGGGGUGGCCUGGUAGUGACUAAGAGUCAUUGUUAACGUCUGCCAGUCUCUUGCCCUUACUGAGCUUUGCAGUCCAGGACAUGUUUUACACCUAAAGUCAUAUCUUCACACGUUUUGUAACCUUUCUUGCUCAAUAAUAAUAAAACGCCUCUAUGGUUGCGUUGGCCCCUAGGGAUUCUUAAGUUUCCAAAAACUUUUGCAAGGUAAGUGCUGUGGAAUGAAGGGAAAAUUCUGAAUAAGAGACUCAGGAUCUCUGAAGAACACAGAGAGAGUGAGAGCAAGCCAGUGUACUGUCUGAGCCUGGGGUGUGACUCAUCAUUAAAGCUCAUGUCUUACCAGAAGAAGAGGCCCUGCCUUGACUCUCCAGCACCACCAGCAUCUUGUGUGGUGGAGUAGAGCUUUCGUGUCUUUUUCUUGCUCUAAAAUCGCAGCAUAAAAUCUGGGUUGCGGGGUGGCUUUGUCAGGCAGGUAUGGUGGGACACUCAGUUCAAUCCCAGGAACCACAUUAAUAUAAAAUAUUUCAAUCUCACCCUUUGACCACCUCCCUACAGCUUCACUACUGGCACCAAUCUGUCCUGUGACCUUCAUGAGAAAGACAGUUAUGGGCAUGAAUACAGGUUUCUGUCACUUUCCAUUUUGAGAACUGGGCUAGGUCUUAAGAUGAGAGAGCAGAGAAAGAACUGUUACUAUUAUCAAACCUUCAGGGAGGAUUGUCUUUUCUAAGGUUAUUUGGGAAACGAUUCUAAGAUUUUCUAACAUUGUCAGAAAUAUCUUUUGUUCCCCUUGACUAAAUAUUGAUAUCAGAAAUCAAAAUAAUGUCCACUAGGAGUGGUGGAGUUGUUGUACUGGUACUAAAUACUGGUGGCAAAAAAAAAAGGAACAAAGAAUGAGAAAAGGAAGGAAGGAAGGAGAAAUAGAAGAAAGAAGGAAGGGAGGAAGGGAGGAGGAGAGAAAGGAAGGGAAGAAACACUAGUUUCUGGAUCCUCUGGCCACAAUUCAUAAAUUCAUACAUUUCUUUGACCUUGUGUUUCUAUCCUUGUUACCUUAAUCAGGAGGAGCUAACAUAUUCCUUAUGUUAGAGAAGAGCUAUGCAGGAUUUUGUGGCAUAAAUGUUAGGAAAAUAAUUUCAAAAUAUCAAAGUCAUUUUGUUUAUGCAGAAAAAAAAUAGAAAAAAGAAGCAAAACACACAGAUAAUGCAUUUUAGCAUGCCCAUUCAUGUUCCUUCCUAUUAAUCACAAAAAUAAUAUGCCCCACUUAUUAGAUGUCUGCUACGUUCUAGGAACUGUGCUAAGUUCUCUACAUAGUUUACUGCUUUAAAUCCUCUUAUUAGCCUUAUAAAUUAUAUUUUUUACUAUCACCACUUUACAGAUGAAGACAUAGAAGCUUAAAGAAGCCGAGUAACUUGCCUUCAGUCAUGUAGUUAAUAAAUGGAGGAGCCAAAACUUAAACCCUGGUUGUCUGACUCUAAAGAUCAAGCUGUUAAUCAUAUUAGUGUGAGCUGCUCUGCUCUGUGUUUUUUCAGCAAUACCAUAUGGAUUAAGUUAUUUUCUUGAACAUUUCUAUAUAUGACUGAUUUUAACUAUGUAGUUAUGAGUCAUAUUAUAGCCAGUUGCCUUGGAAAUAAAGGAGGUAUCAUAAAUUAAGACCAGAAUAUUGGCUUACAAUAUUGAAUGUACAUGAGGAAAAAACUGAAGUUCUAAAACUCUUUGAAGAGAACCCUGCCAUGAUGUUGAAUUCAGAAAGAAAAACCACUGAAGGGAAUGUAAAUACAGAAAAUGCAGAGCUUUCUCAACAAAUGUGCAUAUGUUUUUACAAAAAAUAGUUCCUUAAAGGAAUAUCAUAGUGGUCUGGGUGGUGGCAGAGUGGAUAAAGCAUCGGACUCUCAAGCAUGAGGUCCUGAGUUCAGUCCUUGGCAGCACAUGUACCAGAGUGACGUCUGGUCCUCUCUCUCCCUCCCAUCUUUCUCAUUAAUAAAUAAGUAAAAU